UGUGAGCUCGAUGAGUAGGGCGGGACACGUGGUAUCCUGUCUGAAUAUGGGGGGACCAUCCUCCAAGGCUAAAUACUCCUGACUGACCGAUAGUGAACCAGUACCGUGAGGGAAAGGCGAAAAGAACCCCGGCGAGGGGAGUGAAAAAGAACCUGAAACCGUGUACGUACAAGCAGUGGGAGCACGCUUAGGCGUGUGACUGCGUACCUUUUGUAUAAUGGGUCAGCGACUUAUAUUCUGUAGCAAGGUUAACCGAAUAGGGGAGCCGAAGGGAAACCGAGUCUUAACUGGGCGUUAAGUUGCAGGGUAUAGACCCGAAACCCGGUGAUCUAGCCAUGGGCAGGUUGAAGGUUGGGUAACACUAACUGGAGGACCGAACCGACUAAUGUUGAAAAAUUAGCGGAUGACUUGUGGCUGGGGGUGAAAGGCCAAUCAAACCGGGAGAUAGCUGGUUCUCCCCGAAAGCUAUUUAGGUAGCGCCUCGUGAAUUCAUCUCCGGGGGUAGAGCACUGUUUCGGCAAGGGGGUCAUCCCGACUUACCAACCCGAUGCAAACUGCGAAUACCGGAGAAUGUUAUCACGGGAGACACACGGCGGGUGCUAACGUCCGUCGUGAAGAGGGAAACAACCCAGACCGCCAGCUAAGGUCCCAAAGUCAUGGUUAAGUGGGAAACGAUGUGGGAAGGCCCAGACAGCCAGGAUGUUGGCUUAGAAGCAGCCAUCAUUUAAAGAAAGCGUAAUAGCUCACUGGUCGAGUCGGCCUGCGCGGAAGAUGUAACGGGGCUAAACCAUGCACCGAAGCUGCGGCAGCGACGCUGAUGCGUUGUUGGGUAGGGGAGCGUUCUGUAAGCCUGCGAAGGUGUGCUGUGAGGCAUGCUGGAGGUAUCAGAAGUGCGAAUGCUGACAUAAGUAACGAUAAAGCGGGUGAAAAGCCCGCUCGCCGGAAGACCAAGGGUUCCUGUCCAACGUUAAUCGGGGCAGGGUGAGUCGACCCCUAAGGCGAGGCCGAAAGGCGUAGUCGAUGGGAAACAGGUUAAUAUUCCUGUACUUGGUGUUACUGCGAAGGGGGGACGGAGAAGGCUAUGUUGGCCGGGCGACGGUUGUCCCGGUUUAAGCGUGUAGGCUGGUUUUCCAGGCAAAUCCGGAAAAUCAAGGCUGAGGCGUGAUGACGAGGCACUACGGUGCUGAAGCAACAAAUGCCCUGCUUCCAGGAAAAGCCUCUAAGCAUCAGGUAACAUCAAAUCGUACCCCAAACCGACACAGGUGGUCAGGUAGAGAAUACCAAGGCGCUUGAGAGAACUCGGGUGAAGGAACUAGGCAAAAUGGUGCCGUAACUUCGGGAGAAGGCACGCUGAUAUGUAGGUGAAGUCCCUUGCGGAUGGAGCUGAAAUCAGUCGAAGAUACCAGCUGGCUGCAACUGUUUAUUAAAAACACAGCACUGUGCAAACACGAAAGUGGACGUAUACGGUGUGACGCCUGCCCGGUGCCGGAAGGUUAAUUGAUGGGGUCAGCGCAAGCGAAGCUCUUGAUCGAAGCCCCGGUAAACGGCGGCCGUAACUAUAACGGUCCUAAGGUAGCGAAAUUCCUUGUCGGGUAAGUUCCGACCUGCACGAAUGGCGUAAUGAUGGCCAGGCUGUCUCCACCCGAGACUCAGUGAAAUUGAACUCGCUGUGAAGAUGCAGUGUACCCGCGGCAAGACGGAAAGACCCCGUGAACCUUUACUAUAGCUUGACACUGAACAUUGAGCCUUGAUGUGUAGGAUAGGUGGGAGGCUUUGAAGUGUGGACGCCAGUCUGCAUGGAGCCGACCUUGAAAUACCACCCUUUAAUGUUUGAUGUUCUAACGUUGACCCGUAAUCCGGGUUGCGGACAGUGUCUGGUGGGUAGUUUGACUGGGGCGGUCUCCUCCUAAAGAGUAACGGAGGAGCACGAAGGUUGGCUAAUCCUGGUCGGACAUCAGGAGGUUAGUGCAAUGGCAUAAGCCAGCUUGACUGCGAGCGUGACGGCGCGAGCAGGUGCGAAAGCAGGUCAUAGUGAUCCGGUGGUUCUGAAUGGAAGGGCCAUCGCUCAACGGAUAAAAGGUACUCCGGGGAUAACAGGCUGAUACCGCCCAAGAGUUCAUAUCGACGGCGGUGUUUGGCACCUCGAUGUCGGCUCAUCACAUCCUGGGGCUGAAGUAGGUCCCAAGGGUAUGGCUGUUCGCCAUUUAAAGUGGUACGCGAGCUGGGUUUAGAACGUCGUGAGACAGUUCGGUCCCUAUCUGCCGUGGGCGCUGGAGAACUGAGGGGGGCUGCUCCUAGUACGAGAGGACCGGAGUGGACGCAUCACUGGUGUUCGGGUUGUCAUGCCAAUGGCACUGCCCGGUAGCUAAAUGCGGAAGAGAUAAGUGCUGAAAGCAUCUAAGCACGAAACUUGCCCCGAGAUGAGUUCUCCCUGACCCUUUAAGGGUCCUGAAGGAACGUUGAAGACGACGACGUUGAUAGGCCGGGUGUGUAAGCGCAGCGAUGCGUUGAGCUAACCGGUACUAAUGAACCGUGAGGCUUAACCUUACAACGCCGAAG
rnacentral:rRNA from 1 species